GACGAAGGUGGCAAGCGUUGUUCGGAAUCACUGGGCAUAAAGAGCACGUAGGCGGCUAAGUUAGUCGGAUGUGAAAUACCUCGGCUCAACCGAGGAACUGCGUCCGAUACUGCUUGGCUUGAGGUCCGGAGGGGAGAGUGGAAUUCCCGGUGGAGCGGUGAAAUGCGUAGAGAUCGGGAAGAACGCCGGCGGCGAAAGCGACUCUCUGGUCGGAAUCUGACGCUGAGGUGCGAAAGCUAGGGGAGCAAACGGG
rnacentral:rRNA from 1 species